CCGAGUUUACAACUCCCAAACCCCUGUGAACUUAUACCUAUACUGUUGCUUCGGCGGGUCAUUGCCCCGGGGAAGGACAGGGUGACCGUCAGGUCUCCCCUGCCCGCCCCCCCGGAAACAGGCGCCCGCCGGGGGACCCAAACUCUUGUAUUUCUUACUUUGCAUGUCUGAGUGGAAUCAUAAACAAAUGAAUCA
rnacentral:misc_RNA from 1 species